GAUGAACGCUAGCGGCAGGCUUAAUACAUGCAAGUCGAGGGGCAGCAGGGUGGUAGCAAUACCACUGCUGGCGACCGGCAAACGGGUGCGGAACACGUACGCAAUCUACCCAUAACUGGGGCAUAGCCCUCCGAAAGGAGGAUUAAUACCUCGUAACCUCUGGGGGUGGCAUCACCUCCUUAGUAUAGCUCCGGCGGUUAUGGAUGAGCGUGCGGCUGAUUAGGUAGUUGGCGGGGUAACGGCCCACCAAGCCUGCGAUCAGUAACUGGUGUGAGAGCACGACCAGUCACACGGGCACUGAGACACGGGCCCGACUCCUACGGGAGGCAGCAGUAAGGAAUAUUGGUCAAUGGAGGCAACUUUGAACCAGCCAUGCCGCGUGGAGGAUGAAGGUCCUCUGGAUUGUAAACUUCUUUUACAGGGGAAGAAACCACUUUUUUCCAAAAGUGUUGACGGUACCCUGGGAAUAAGCACCGGCUAACUCCGUGCCAGCCGCCGCAGUAACAC
rnacentral:rRNA from 1 species